CUACUAACACUCAUUAAAAACCAGCACUAUGUAUGAGUGCUGUGCCACUGCUGUCUCUGUAACUGGCAGCACUUGCUUAGGGCUCCUAAGAUUGGCUCCUUAUGGGGUUGGCUUUUUCAUGAACUUCGGUGUGAGAAACAGAGAUACGCAAUAUACUGACUUCCUUUUGCAAGACAUCUGUGAAGGUCAAGACACUCUCCAAGCACUCCUUUCCGGCCUGCUGUCCCCAGCCUAACACUGCUCAUGAGGAAGUAACCAGCAGCCAUCAAAGAUUGGCCUCGGCGCAUCCUCCUACACCACCAGGACUGCUGGGAGGUGGUGAACUGCAUUUUCUUCUUUUUCUGUGGCUUCUGAGUGCAGAUCCCCAUUUGUGUAGAGCCAAUGAAUGUAGACCCUGGAGAAGUCUCCUUUGCCAUGUGAGUGGAGGGCAGAUCAGAUCUUGACAUGACACAUCGAUUUAGUUUCCAAAACAGUAACUUUACUAAGUAAAUCAUUUCAGCGCUUGAUUGUUAUUUAUACAUGCAAAUCUGGUUUUCAUUUGUUAGACUCGGACAAGGGGAAAGCUAAUAAUCUCAUCAAAAGCUGAAUAUGUUCCAUCUUGGAAAUGUCACAAGGUUCACAAUCACAUAACCUGCACUCUGCCGUGGGUGGAUAAACGAACACCUCCCUAAUCCAUCCUACAGACAAACAGCACUGAGAUAGGAGAACUCUGGGGUGUUUGCAAGGAUGAGUCUCAACUCAGGCCAAUGACUCCUUGGCCUUUUUCCUAGCAUUAUGUAAUUCGUUUCCAGUGGUUGUAUACUGAGAGGAGGAAAGUGGAGAAAGAUGAGAAAAAAAAUGGAUAGUUAAAAAUUCUGGGCAAGUAAAUAUUAAUAGCUUCAACAUAAAUUACAG
rnacentral:lncRNA from 1 species